UACGUAGGGGGCAAGCGUUGUCCGGAAUCAUUGGGCGUAAAGCGCGUGUAGGCGGCCCGGUAAGUCCGCUGUGAAAGUCCAGGGCUCAACCCUGGAAUGCCGGUGGAUACUGUCGGGCUCGAGUCCGGAAGAGGCGAGUGGAAUUCCGGGUGUAGUGGUGGAAUACGUAGAUAUCCGGAGGAACACCAGCGGCGAAGGCGGCUUUCUGGUCCGAUACUGACGCUGAGGUGCGAAAGCGUGGGGAGCGAACCGG
rnacentral:rRNA from 1 species